GCCAGCGUAGCUCAGUCGGCAGAGCACAUCCAUGGUAAGGAUGGGGUCAUCGGUUCGAUUCCGAUCGCUGGCU
rnacentral:tRNA from 5 species